rnacentral:rRNA from 1 species
UACGUAGGGUGCUAGCGUUGUUCGGAAUCAUUGGGCGUAAAGCGCGUGUAGGCGGUUAGUUAGGUCGGGUGUGAAAUCCCUGGGCUCAACCGAGGAAGUGCAUCCGAAACUAACUAGCUAGAGAAUGGUAGAGGAAGGUGGAAUUCCUAGUGUAGAGGUGAAAUUCGUAGAUAUUAGGAGGAAUACCGGUGGCGAAGGCGGCCUUCUGGACCAUUUCUGACGCUGAGACGCGAAAGCGUGGGGAGCAAACAGG